GAUGAACGCUGGCGGCGUGCCUAAUACAUGCAAGUCGAGCGAACGGACGAGAAGCUUGCUUCUCUGAUGUUAGCGGCGGACGGGUGAGUAACACGUGGAUAACCUACCUAUAAGACUGGGAUAACUUCGGGAAACCGGAGCUAAUACCGGAUGAUAUUUUGAACCGCAUGGUUCAAAAGUGAAAGACGGUCUUGCUGUCACUUAUAGAUGGAUCCGCGCUGCAUUAGCUAGUUGGUAAGGUAAUGGCUUACCAAGGCAACGAUGCAUAGCCGACCUGAGAGGGGGAUCGGCCACACUGGAACUGAGACACGGUCCAGACUCCUACGGGAGGCAGCAGUAGGGAAUCUUCCGCAAUGGGCGAAAGCCUAACGGAGCAACGCCGCGUGAGUGAUGAAGGUCUUCGGAUCGUAAAACUCUGUUAUUAGGGAAGAACAUAUGUGUAAGUAACUGUGCACAUCUUGACGGUACCUAAUCAGAAAGCCACGGCUAACUACGUG
rnacentral:rRNA from 1 species